GAUCAUUCAACCCCGCCUCAAUUAUUCGCCACAACCAGCCGCGACCCCACCACACCCACUUCCCCUCGUCUCCCACCACAGCACAUCAGCAGCAGAGUGAGUAGAUCCUGGAGCGGAAGGGCGCGGCGGAAGCAGCCGGUGCACGUGCUCGCCGGAGCGCAGGGGGGUGGAUGGUUUGCUUGUCGCGGCACCCGACCUAUCUCGCUCGUCGCCCCGGCGACCGCGUCAGAUUUCUCUCGCGCGUCUAAAUGUCAUCUCCUGGUGCUACGUCCAUCACUUGAUUGCUACGAGCACACGAGAAAGAAGUAAGAGGGGGAGAGAGGUAGUCAUCAAGCGAGACACAUCAUGGCGGACCGGCUGGCAGUUGGUUUGUCGAAAUCGGUGGUGGUCGGGGCGAUCACCAAGAUCCAGUCGGCCAUCGACGAGGAUGCCAGGCUUCGGCAAAAGGUGAAGCGCGACCUUGUGUCCAUCACGUUGGAGCUGGAGAUGAUGCAGUCCUUCCUCGACGAUGCCAACGAGGAAAUGAAGAACAAUCUGGUGAGGACCUGGGUGAAGCACAUUCGCCAGCUCGCCUACGAUGUCGAAGACUGCGUCGAAAAUGUUGUCCAACUGGACGACAAGCCAAUCUUCUGGCGCCGGCUGCUCCCGUCCUGGAUGGCGCCGCCGCUGCCGCUCGACCAGGCCGUAGAAGAGCUAGAGCAUCUCAAGUGCAGGGUGGAGGAUGUGAACAACUGCUACAGACGCUACAGCCUCAUCAACAUUGAGUCUGCUGCAGGGUCAUCAUCCAACCUGGUGCACGGCAAAACCGCAUAUGAGAUGCUGCUCGCCGACGUAAGCCGCACCACCAAGAGGCAGCACAGCCACUUGGAUGAUCUCACCAGCCAUAUAAUCACCAACAAAGUACACAAGCACCUGCAAGUGAUCUCCUUGUGGGGGUCAGCCGGCGAUCUUGGGACCACGUCCAUCAUCAGGGAGACCUACAACGAUCCAGAAAUCUGUCAAUACUUUGCCUGCCGCGCGUGGGUGAAGCUGGUUCAUCCCUUCAGUCCCCACGACUUCAUCCAUGGUCUUAUGACUCAGUUCUACGCGAACUCUUGCAAAGAACAAGAAAAGGCUGCAACCGUAGGUAUGCAUGUCCUAUCCAUGAUGGAUACCACCCAUGCUCAUCUGUUCAAGGAGUUUGAGCAGCUAGUCACACAGAAGACGUACCUCGUUGUCUUGGAAGGCCUGUCAAACAUGGUAGAGUGGGAUGUCAUCAGGACGUUUCUUCCUCACAGCGAGGAGGGAAGCUGUAUCAUUGUGUCCACGCAGCAACUCGAAAUAGCAACCUUGUGCAUCGGCCAUUCUUACCAGAUAUUGGAGUUGAAACAGUUCUCGUCUCAGCAUUCCGUUUGUGCCUUCUUCAAGGAACCAAGGGUGGGUAAAGCAAGCCAAAAGAGAGAAGCGGAAGAUUGGAUGAUGGAUCAGCCCCUUGUUGGACGUGAAUCACAAAUAAGAGAACUUCGUAAGUAUGUGGGUGAAGCACGCAUCAACUCUUCCCAUGUGGUGUCUGUAUGGGGAAUGGCUGGCGUUGGGAAAUCAUCUCUUGUCAGACACUUCUACUUUGACAUGAUGCUUCAUGUCUACCAAUUUGAUAAGUUCAAUUGGGUGGAUGUGUCCUAUCCGUUCAAUUUAAGGAGUUUCCUUCGGAGUUUACUCUCAGAUUUUGAAUCAGAAAAGGACCCUGUUCAAGAGUGUCGCCACCUUCUGGAACAACAUAAGUGCCUCGUUGUCAUCGACUGCCUCCAUUCUAAAGAAGAAUGGGACUUGAUACAAGCAGCUUUGGUAUCUAGAGCUUCUAAAAGCGUUAUCAUUGUGAUUACGACUGAAGCAAGCAUCGCUGCAUACUGCACAGAAAGAACAGAACUCAUGUUGAAUGUCCAAGGUCUACAAGCUCUUGCAGCCUUUAAUUUCUUCAAAAAGGAGGUAUGCAAGAAAAAUCCAUUAUCCCCUUUGAAGGACAACAAACAUAUGUAUGACCUAGAAGAACUUAUUCUCAAGUGUGGAGGUUUCCCUGGAGUAAUAACUGCUAUAGCUGGCUUGUUGGCCACAAAGGCGGAUGCAUGGAAGGAUGCAGCAGAUUCUUUGAACCGCAGAUUUAUGCAUCAUCUAGAGACCGGCCCAGAGUUUAAUGGUCUAGGGGGUCUAUUUCGUCAGAUGCAUUCCAUCAUACUCAAUCCUCCAGAUUUUCUCAAGCCAUGUAUCUUCUACCUGUUAAUUUUUCCUCGAGGCCUUGGCAUUCAGCGGAGGAGACUAGUAAGGCGAUGGAUCUCGGAGGGCUACUCCAAGCAGAGUGUGGAAAGACACGCGGAGGAGAAUGCUGACAAUUUCUUCUCUGAGCUCGUUGAGCUCAACAUAUUCCAGCAGGUACAACGUUUGAGCAGCACCAACACAAUACAAGUUUAUUAUCAGGUGAAUAGUUUCAUUCGUGAGUACAUCUCACGGCGGGUGGAAGAGAACCUUGUGUAUGAACUCAGUAGCGAUUGUGCAAUAACCACCCAAAGCAGAGGGCGUCACCUUAUCAUACAGCAAUGCUGGCACAGAGAUAGAAUUGUGUUCGAGAGAGCAGACUUCUCACGGCUAUGGUCACUCACAGUAUUUGGGAAGUGGGAGCAUUUCUUCAUCUCCAAGAGUAUGAAGCUUCUCCGGGUACUUGAUCUCGAGAAUACAUUUGGUGUGAAGGACGUCGAUCUCGAGAAGAUGGUGAAACUCCUGCAUUGCCUAAAGUUCCUGUCUCUACGAGGAUGUCGUGAGGUCUACCAUCUGCCAAGUUCAUUAGGUGAUCUGAGGCAGCUCCAGACUCUGGACGUCAGGCACACCUCAAUAGUUGCCCUGCCGGCGAGCAUCACCAAGUUAUACAAGUUGCAGUACAUUCGUGUCGGCGCCAACUUGGACUCGGAACCAACACCGUCUGCUUCUUCAUCCAGCUGCUUACCAGAGAUGUGCAGGCGUCCUCACCUAGCCGGUGCUGAGGCGCCCAGAGGGAUUGGCAAGCUAACAGAGUUGCACACAGUCGGCGUCAUCAAUGUCGCCUCUAUAGAGGGGAUGGUCAUCCUUGAAGAGCUCAAGAAGCUCACCCAACUGCGCAAGCUUGGAGUGUCCGGCAUCAACUCGAAGAGCAGCGGCAAGUUUCUAUGUGCCGUUUCGGAACAUGCGCAUAUCGAAUCCUUGUCGGUGUGGUUGGACAAGGACAAUGAAGAUUGCUUGGAUGACAUCAACCAUCCCUUGGAGAACCUUCGGAGCCUUAAACUGUAUGGACUUGGAGACAAGCUGCCCGCUGCCAUGUCAUCCAAGGACCUUAUAGCAAGCUCACGAAGCUGGACCUGGGAAUGGCUGCUUUGUUGCCAAGUGACAUGGAGCACCUUGCUAGGUUGCCGAAGCUUCGUAUUCUGCGACUUCAUGUCAAGCAGUCCAGCCUCCAAUUUUGUGCUGAAAAUUGUGGAGGAGAGGAGUCGGUCGCCUACGAGAAGGUGAAGGUCCUCGAGAUAUCUGGCAGCUCGACCGGCUUACACGUGACCUUCGGAUCGAAAUCGAUGCAGAGUCUUGAGCACCUCAAGCUGGACUUCUCCAGUUGCCCUGGUACAAAUUUUCUGGCCUGAAUCAUCUGUUUGGGGUCAAGGAAGUCUUGCUUACCGGCACCGAGGAUGAAGCGUUCAGGACCGACCUCCAGAACCAGCUGCUCAACCAUCCAGAGAAACCUACUGUGACGCUUGCUUGAGGGACUAGCUCGAUCCAGUCCUUUUUUCUAUCAUUUUUUCCUUUUGGGGUUUGUGUUAACUUUACUUUUAUUCAACUAGCAAAACAGACUGUGCAUCCAACCGGAGAAAAAAAAAUCAUAAUCUUGAA